GUAGUCAUAUGCUUGUCUCAAAGAUUAAGCCAUGCAUGUCCAAGUAUGAACACGCUUUGUACGGUGAAACUGCGAAUGGCUCAUUAUAUCAGUGAUCAUUUAUUUGAUGAUGCCUUACUACGUGGAUAACCGUGGUAAUUCUAGAGCUAAUACAUGCACACGACGCCCGACUCGCGAGGGAAGGGCGGUAUUUAUUAGGUAAGAACCAGCCCAGGCAACUGGAGCACUGGUGAUUCAUGAUAACUGCACGAAUCGCACGGCCACUGCGCGCUGGCGAUGGAUCAUUCAAAUUUCUGCCCUAUCAACUUUUGAUGGUAGGAUAGAGGCCUACCAUGGUCGCAACGGGUAACGGGGAAU
rnacentral:rRNA from 1 species